GAUGCACGCUUUCUUCUUUCCUAAUACAUGCAAGUCGAGCGAACAGACGAGGAGCUUGCUCCUCUGACGUUAGCGGCGGACGGGUGAGUAACACGUGGAUAACCUACCUAUAAGACUGGGAUAACUUCGGGAAACCGGAGCUAAUACCGGAUAAUAUAUUGAACCGCAUGGUUCAAUAGUGAAAGACGGUUUUGCUGUCACUUAUAGAUGGACCCGCGCCGCAUUAGCUAGUUGGUAAGGUAACGGCUUACCAAGGCAACGAUGCGUAGCCGACCUGAGAGGGUGAUCGGCCACACUGGAACUGAGACACGGUCCAGACUCCUACGGGAGGCAGCAGUAGGGAAUCUUCCGCAAUGGGCGAAAGCCUGACGGAGCAACGCCGCGUGAGUGAUGAAGGUCUUCGGAUCGUAAAACUCUGUUAUUAGGGAAGAACAAAUGUGUAAGUAACUAUGCACGUCUUGACGGUACCUAAUCAGAAAGCCACGGCUAACUACGUG
rnacentral:rRNA from 1 species